CACAUGCAAGUCGGACGGUAGCACAGAGGAGCUUGCUCCUCGGGUGACGAGUGGCGGACGGGUGAGUAAUGUCUGGGGAUCUGCCCGAUAGAGGGGGAUAACCACUGGAAACGGUGGCUAAUACCGCAUAACGUCGCAAGACCAAAGAGGGGGACCUUCGGGCCUCUCACUAUCGGAUGAACCCAGAUGGGAUUAGCUAGUAGGCGGGGUAAUGGCCCACCUAGGCGACGAUCCCUAGCUGGUCUGAGAGGAUGACCAGCCACACUGGAACUGAGACACGGUCCAGACUCCUACGGGAGGCAGCAGUGGGGAAUAUUGCACAAUGGGCGCAAGCCUGAUGCAGCCAUGCCGCGUGUAUGAAGAAGGCCUUCGGGUUGUAAAGUACUUUCAGCGGGAGGGGAAGGGCGGGGUGAAGGUUAAUAACCUCACCGAUUGACGUUACCCGCAGAAGAAGCACCGGCUAACUCCGUGCCAGCAGCCGCGGUAAUACGGAGGGUGCAAGCGUUAAUCGGAAUUACUGGGCGUAAAGCGCACGCAGGCGGUCUGUUAAGUCAGAUGUGAAAUCCCCGGGCUUAACCUGGGAACUGCAUUUGAAACUGGCAGCUUGAGUCUCGUAGAAGGGGGUAGAAUUCCAGUGUACCGGUGAAAUGCGUAAGAUCUGGAAGAAUAGCUGGUGGCGAAGGCUGGCCACCUGAACGAAGACUGACGGCUCAGNNNNNAAGCGUGNGGAGCNAACAGNNNUAGAUACCUGGUAGUCACGCCGUAAACGAUGUCGACUUGGAGGUUGUUCCUUGAGGAGUGGCUUCCGGAGCUAACGCGUUAAGUCGACCGCCUGGGGAGUACGGCCGCAAGGUUAAAACUCAAAUGAAUUGACGGGGGCCCGCACAAGCGGUGGAGCAUGUGGUUUAAUUCGAUGCAACGCGAAGAACCUUACCUACUCUUGACAUCCAGAGAACUUAGCAGAGAUGCUUUGGUGCCUUCGGGAACUCUGAGACAGGUGCUGCAUGGCUGUCGUCAGCUCGUGUUGUGAAAUGUUGGGUUAAGUCCCGCAACGAGCGCAACCCUUAUCCUUUGUUGCCAGCGAUUCGGUCGGGAACUCAAAGGAGACUGCCGGUGAUAAACCGGAGGAAGGUGGGGAUGACGUCAAGUCAUCAUGGCCCUUACGAGUAGGGCUACACACGUGCUACAAUGGCGCAUACAAAGAGAAGCGACCUCGCGAGAGCAAGCGGACCUCACAAAGUGCGUCGUAGUCCGGAUCGGAGUCUGCAACUCGACUCCGUGAAGUCGGAAUCGCUAGUAAUCGUGGAUCAGAAUGCCACGGUGAAUACGUUCCCGGGCCUUGUACACACCGCCCGUCACACCAUGGGAGUGGGUUGCAAAAGAAGUAGGUAGCUUAACCUUCGGGAGGGCGCUUACCACUUUGUGAUUCAUGACUGGGGUGAAGUCGUAAC
rnacentral:rRNA from 1 species